rnacentral:rRNA from 1 species
CUAAAACAUGCAAGUUGAACGCUUCGAACUAUGGCGAAACGUAGCGGACGGCUCAGUAACACGUGGCUAACCUGCCCUUGAGACGGGAAUAAUCCCGGGAAACUGGGGCUAAUUCCCGAUAGGUGAAGAUGCCUGGAAUGGUCCAUCAUCUAAAGGACGUUGAGACCAUGUUUCACAGUGUCGCUCAAGGAUGGGGCCGCGGCCGAUCAGGUAGUUGGCGAGGUAACUGCUCACCAAGCCUUUGACCGGUACGGGCCGUGAGAGCGGGAGCCCGGAGAUGGGCACUGAGACAAGGGCCCAGGCCCUAUGGGGCGCAGCAGUUGCGAAACCUCCGCAAUGCGCGAAAGCGUGACGGGGUUACCCCAAGUGCCAUCCGCUGAGGACGGCUUUUCCUUGGUGUAAUGAGCCAAAGGAAUAAGGGGAGGGCAAGACUGGUGUCAGCCGCCGCGGUAAUACCAGCUCCCCGAGUGGUAGGGACAAUUAUUGGGCUUAAAGCGUCCGUAGCCGGUCUGACAAGUCUUUCGUUAAAUCCAGCGACCUAAUCGUUGGGCUGCGGGAGAUACUUUCAGGCUAGGGGACGGGAGAGGCCGAUGGUAUUCUUGGGGUAGGGGUGAAAUCCUAUAAUCCCAGGAGGACCACCAGUGGCGAAGGCGAUCGGCUAGAACGCGCUCGACGGUGAUGGACGAAAGCUGGG